rnacentral:piRNA from 1 species
UGUACUCACUCAUAAACCUUGCCUAC